UGAGCAAUCUGCCCUUCUCAUCGGAAUAAGCGUUGGAAACGACGUCUAAUGCCGAAUACGACCUCCUUUCGCAUGAUCGGAGGUGGAAAGCUCCGGCGGAGAAGGAUGAGCUCGCGGCCUAUCAGCUAGUUGGUGUGGGUAAUGGCCCACAAGGCGACGACGGGUAGCCGGCCUGAGAGGGUGACCGGUCACACGUGGGACUGAGACACGGCCCAGACCUCCGUACGGGGAGGNACGGCG
rnacentral:rRNA from 1 species